rnacentral:rRNA from 1 species
UACGGAGGAUCCGAGCGUUAUCCGGAUUUAUUGGGUUUAAAGGGUGCGCAGGCGGGGGAUUAAGUCGGCGGUGAAAUUUUGCAGCUCAACUGUAAAAGUGCCUUCGAAACUGGUUUCCUUGAGUGUAGAUGAAGUAGGCGGAAUUUGUGGUGUAGCGGUGAAAUGCAUAGAUAUCACGAGGAACUCCGAUUGCGAAGGCAGCUUACUAAGCUACUACUGACGCUCAGGCACGAAGGCGUGGGGAUCAAACAGGAUUAGAUACCCCCGUAGUCCCUGA